AAGACCUUGCGCUUUUGGAGCGGCCGAUGUCUGAUUAGCUAGUUGGUGGGGUAAUGGCCUACCAAGGCGACGAUCAGUAGUUGGUCUGAGAGGACGACCAGCCACACUGGGACUGAGACACGGCCCAGACUCCUACGGGAGGCAGCAGUGGGGAAUUUUGGACAAUGGGCGCAAGCCUGAUCCAGCAAUGCCGCGUGAGUGAAGAAGGCCUUCGGGUUGUAAAGCUCUUUCAGUCGAGAAGAAAGGGCUGCAGUGAAUAACUGUAGUUUAUGACGGUAUCGACAGAAGAAGCACCGGCUAACUACGUGCCAGCAGCCGCGGUAAUACGUAGGGUGCGAGCGUUAAUCGGAAUUACUGGGCGUAAAGGGUGCGCAGGCGGUUUUGUAAGUCAGAUGUGAAAUCCCCGGGCUUAACCUGGGAAUUGCGUUUGAAACACA
rnacentral:rRNA from 1 species